rnacentral:sRNA from 1 species
AUUAUACAGAAAUUUAAAUCAAU